GCCUGGGUGGCUCAGACAGCUGAGCGUCCGACUUCAGCUCAGGUCAUGAUCUUCAGUUCGUGGGUUCAAGCCCCACAUCAGGCU
rnacentral:tRNA from 1 species